rnacentral:rRNA from 1 species
AUUGAACGCUGGCGGCAGGCCUAACACAUGCAAGUCGAACGAGUGGCGGACGGGUGAGUAAUGUCUGGGAAACUGCCCGAUGGAGGGGGAUAACUACUGGAAAAGGUAGCUAAUAACGCAUAUCAUCGGACGGGCACAGAUGGGAUUAGCUUGUAGGUGAGGUAACGGCUCACCUAGGCGACGAUCCCUAGCUGGUCUGAGAGGAUGACCAGCCACAAGUGGACUGAGACACGGUGCAGGCUCCUAGGGGAGGCAGCAGUGGGGAAUAUUGCACAAUGGGCGCAAUCCUAAUACAGGCAUGCCGCGUGUAUGAAGAAGGCCUUCGGGUUGGAAAGUACUUUCGGCGGGAAGGCGUUACCAGCAGAAGAAGCACCGGCGAACUCCGGGACAGCAGCCGCGGUAAUAC